CUCAUUUCAUAUGUUGUUUUGUGAAGCUGAAAUAAUAAGACAUUUACAUUUCCCUGAUAGGUAGAACUAAUAACACAAUAUUACAGGAUCCUGGUACUAAAUUGAUAGUGACUUUGACAUAUUGCAUAAUCUAAGCUUUUUAGUCCGAAUUACAUUCACUUGAUCUGAACAUGCUCUUUUUCAAUUAGCUUCCUCCUCCACCCCAGCAGGCUUGCUUGGGUGUCUUCUUUGCAGUGCUCCCUUUCGUCCCAGAACCCAUUGGGUGAGGCUCCUUAGUAUUAGGACCUGUGAGAAGGUGUUACACAGUAGGUGACUGCUGGGCUGUGCGUUGGUUCUCACUGAGCCUACUUGGGAAUGGAAACUCCAGUGAAAUUCCUCCACUAUUCAAAAGAGAAUGGAGAAAAUUGAUCCAUUAAGUGAUGGCCCCCCAAGACUGAUGCACCUUAGGAAAUAGAAAUGUUUUUGCAGAAGAACCAUGAAGGUUCAGAAGAACAUCCCAAAUUUGGCUGAUUCUUUGCUGCUGCUGCUUUCGAAGGAAAUGUUGGACAGCCUACAUCCUGCAACAUUACUAAUCAGCAGCAGGAUGAAAAGAAUAUUGAAAAAGUUGUAUCAACGAAAAUCACCAAAUCUGGACUACCAAGAAGAGAAACUCCCCCAAAGUAAUCCUUCAUAGACUGUCUUGGACACUUGGAAGAAAACAAACAAACAAACAAAAAAACCAGAACAACAACAAUCCCUAAUCACAACCUCACGAUCAGAACUGCCUAAUCAAUUUCCUUUGAAGAGUUUGCAAGCAACAGGCACUACUUUUAGUGCUUGAACUGCAAGUGAAAUGAGUUAUAAACAAGACUUGAACAAAAGUGGAGUUGAUAAAUUUAUUUUCAUUACCCAUUAAAAAAGACACACAAAAACAAACAAGCAAGGUAAUUUUUAAAAUCUUAACCUAACUCCCUUUUACUUUAUCUCUUUAUAUCUUUUUAAAAAUGCUUAAAUUAAUAGUUACCUAAGAAGCUCUGUAAGUGUAAUAUUACACUGUAACUGUAAUCUUGACCACUUGCUUAGUAUUAAGAAAUCAUUGCUUAAAUGGUUCUAUUAUUCAAAAUAAAUGGAUAUUUUCAGUAGUUUAGAUAUACUGU
rnacentral:lncRNA from 1 species